rnacentral:rRNA from 1 species
UACGAAGGGGGCGAGCGUUGUUCGGAUUUACUGGGCGUAAAGGGCGCGCAGGCGGCUUUGUUUGUCAGGCGUGAAAGCCCCGGGCUUAACCUGGGAACUGCGUUUGAUACGGCAGGGCUAGAGUUCGGGAGAGGAGAGUGGAAUUCCAGGUGUAGCGGUGAAAUGCGUAGAUAUCUGGAGGAACACCGGUGGCGAAGGCGGCAUCCUGGACCGGUAUUGACGCUGAGGCGCGAAAGCCAGGGGAGCAAACGGG